rnacentral:ncRNA from 1 species
UUUAAACCUUUGAUAAGGCUAGUAACUUAAAUGAGAGUUAAAGAGAGUCGGUGGUUGGUGUAAAUCGAUGCUUAAAUUUUUGUGAAUCCACCUUUGAGGGACUGUGAUGAGCAGUACGGUUAUAGCCGUUAAUUAUAUUAAGAGGGUUAAGAUAAGAUUUAUUAUUUUAAUCAAUUAGGGUGGCAACGCGGAGUCUAUUCGUCCCUGUA